AUGGACACAUGCCAUCGCUGGAGCGGCGAGGAUGCCGCUGCCAAAACGCCAGCAGGCAGCGCGGGGCCAAAACCCACCGGCGGCAGAGAGGAGGGUCUGGCAGCCCGUCCCGGCACAGGGUGUAUGAUGGAGGACGGGCAGCGCGGCAGAGGCACGGCGUGGCCGAGGCAGGAACGGUGGCGGAUGGCAGAGCCGGAGAGGAGAGAGAUCCUCCACCCUGUGAGUGCCACCUUCCUCAGGGAACAAGGCCACACUGGAUGCAGCAGCCCUCAGCCUGGCCCCAGAUGCCACCGUGCCACCCAGCCCGGUGGUGGAAUCCUCCUGGGGCUGGGGUCUCAUGCCUGGCCAUGCCGUGGGUCACAUGAUGCGAUGGAUGUGGAUGUGCCACUGGUCUGGUCCUUGCUGGGAUGUGCCAAUGAUUGCCAGGCACUGGGACAUGGUGACAGGGACGGGACUUCCCCUGUGACCCCUCUGUGGCCGUUGGAUUUCAGCAUCCCUGGGAGUGUGUCCAGGUGAAGAAGUUCUGUCCAUCUGGAGGUUUAUCCAUCCAAACACCGGUAUACGUGGAGCUUUACCAAACAAGCUCAGGCCCUGCCAGCUGCCUCAUGGGCUGGGAUUUGUCCUGGGGAGGAGAAACAUCCUCCCAGCCACGCUCUGGGAGCACGGGAGGUUGACAGUGGCAUCACCCAGCAGGACCACAUGGACCCACCGAGGGCUGCGUCGGGAGCUGCUCUGCUCACCUGGGGCACCAUCAGUCCUAAUCCCAUGUCCUGGGGAUGCUCUGAGGGGGAUGCCCCCUCCCACCCCAAGCCAGGAGCUCUGGGUGUAGAGGGCUGGGCUCCACAGUGCGGGGCCAUCCCAACCCUCCAUCCCCAGGCUGGAAAAUCUUGUAACCCGGGUGGUGGUUUUUUUGGGAGAGGGAAGGGAGAAGCAGGGGGAGGAUGCUCUGGGGGGGCUGCGGGUGCCUGGACGCGGGCAGGGCGGGGGGGGCUGCCGGUCACUGCCAGGUUACAUCUGCCGGGGCACGCAAGAGUGACUCCAGAUGCAUUAGAAGUGCCGUGCUCCAAUUUCAAUUUCAUCGUCUCACAAUCAUUUUCAGGCUCCUCUUAGUGCCACAUUAACGAAGCCUGCUCGUUUGAAUGCAUAAUUAGCCCAAGCAUUCUACCUCGCUAAUUUCGAAGCAAGAGCGGGGGGCGAGGGGAGGGGGAGGGGGGGGGAAUUUGCAUAUUAAUUUAGCAGAGGGAGAGAAAAAUUGUUUACCACUUGCUUCUUGCUGUUGAUCACAGCGGACUUAACUCUUUCCCGGGUGCCAUCUGGAGCUGCGGAGCCGGGCGCCCGGCCGGCACGUGGGACGGGACGCAAAGGUUACGCGGCAGCAAUUAAAUCCUCCCUGCGGCGCCGCGGCCAUCCGGACCACCCCAGCUGCCUUGUGCUACUGGGAGCCAACUGGGAGCACUGGGGCUGCAGCUCCUGGGAGCACAGGGCAGGCGAAGGGCAGCUGGGGUGGAGGUGCAAGCUCCAAGGUGCACCCCAGCCCUCUUCUCCAUGUGGUCCUGGGGUGAAAAGUGACAUCGUCAACCCUCCCCCAACACCAAAGGGUGUCACGGUCCCAUCCUGGGUCUGUCCCUGCCAUUCUUGUAGCCCAGGCAGGCACAGGGAUGUCCAACAGCAUCACCCCUCCUGGCUCCAUGCAAAAUCCACCCUGUCACCCUCUGUGUGCCCCCUCCAAGGGGACAGCUCUGUCCCCACAUCCCACUUCGCUUUUUAGCCUCACCCACCCAUAACAUGAUGUCAGAUGCUCCCGUGUACCAUCCCCAGGGUGCACAGGGUGGCUCAUGGCAUCGGUGGGCCAUGGGAUGCCCACACCCACGGAGCACCCACGGACCUGUGUGGGCAGCCUCCCUGAGCACCGACAACUCGCUACACCACCACCCCCCCCCCGCCAAACCCUCCACCUCCCUUUGUUUGGGAGUCUGUGGGCGUCUUGAGCCGAGGUUGGAAGUAAUUUGUCUGUCUCCUGCAGCGGGCUGUCAUCUCGCAUCUGCGAACCAGUUCCAUUUGCACUGCCAGUAAAAAAUCUCAGGUCUGACAGGUAGUAAAAAAAAAAAAAACCAACCCUAAAAAAAAAAAUAAAAAUGGAGGAAAGCCUAAAAAAAAACCCCA
rnacentral:lncRNA from 1 species